CCUACGGGUGGCAGCAGUGGGGAAUAUUGCACAAUGGGGGAAACCCUGAUGCAGCGACGCCGCGUGGGGGAAGAAGGGCCUAGGGGCGGAAAGCCCUGUCAGCAGGGGAGAAAAAGACGGUACCUGAAGAAGAAGCCCCGGCUAACAACGUGACAGCAGCCGCGGUAAUACGGAGGGGGCCAGCGUGAUCCGGAUUUACUGGGUGUAAAGGGGGCGCAGUCGGCGAUGCAAGCCAGGAGGGAAAGCCCGGGGCCCAACCCCGGGACUGCGCUUGAAACUGCGUGGCUAGAGUGCAGGAGGGGCAGGCGGAAUUCCUGGUGUAGCGGUGAAAUGCGUAGAUAUCAGGAGGAACACCGGUGGCGAAGGCGGCCUACUGGACUGCAACUGACGUUGAGGCCCGAAAGCGUGGGGAGCAAACAGGAUUAGAUACCCCAGUAGUC
rnacentral:rRNA from 1 species